rnacentral:rRNA from 1 species
AGCAGCCGCGGUAAUUCCAGCUCCAAUAGCGUAUAUUAGUGUUGUUGCGGUUAAAAAGCUCGUAGUUGAAUUUCGGGAUUGGGAUAUAUCGGUCGUGCCUUUAGGGGGGCAUGAAUCGGUGUGUGGCCAAUUCUCAUCUUCUGGUGAAUUGGGAUGCUCUUGGGUGUUUCAAUGAACUAGGACUUUUACUUUGAAAAAAUUAGAGUGUUUAAAGCAGGCAUUUUUGCCUGAAUACAUUAGCAUGGAAUAAUAAAAUAGGACGAUGGUUCUAUUUUGUUGGUUUUAGGACCACGUAAUGAUUAAUAGGGAUAGUUGGGGGCAUUAGUAUUCAAUUGUCAGAGGUGAAAUUCUUGGAUUUAUUGAGGACUAACUACUGCGAAAGCAUUUGCCAAGGAUGUUUUCAUUAAUCAAGAACGAAAGUUAGGGGAUCAAAGACGAUUUAUGUACGUCGUAGUCUUAACCAUAAACUAUGCCGACUAGGAAUCAGACAAAGUUAAUUUUUUAACGACUUGUUUGGUACCUUACG